CGGUGUGGGUGAGACCAAAGAUCCUAUAGGAUCUGUGGUGAGACUGAGAGCCGGUCUGUUCCGGUGUGCUGGGUCCAGGAAAGAUCUUCGGUGCUCCCGUACUGAUUGUUAUUGAGGAAGACGUGUUUUUCUGCCAAUUCGGACAGACUGGUCUGUGGAAGUUGAGGAUCCAAUUGCAGAGGAAUGCGCAGAGACCCAGCUCCGUGAGCUUGUUGUCACUUCAUGCUUGCAUUAGUAUCCUGGCUGCAGAACUGAAGACAUUUGAGCCAGAACCAACUCUCGGUAAGCUGUUCAACAAUGUGGAAAAUUGCCUAGAUCUGUCUGCUCCAUGAAAAGCAGCUGAGUGGUAUCAAAAGGAACAUAUUAUUAAUCCACUGGCCCAAGCACAGUUUGCAUUUCAAAGAGCCUCUUAACUGCAGAUGUCAACAUGAGACCAAAGAGUUGAAUUCAUGGUCCUAUCAGCAAAUUCCACGAUGAAAGUGCUGGAAAUCGCCUCAGCUUCCUGUCAGUCUGUGAAGUCCAGCAUUAGAGGGCAUUUGUGGAGAGGCAGAAGAGGAGAAGCGGGCAAAUUCAGUUUCCACAUCCGCUAAUGGAGGAAUCGAACCCGGGACGUGUGGAACUGCCAGCAUUUCUUGGUAAAUCUAGACCAGAUGUUCCUGUGGCCUGCAUUCUUUUUUUUAAAUCAGCACCAAGGUCCUUCAUAGCUUUGUACCAUCCUAAGCAGUGCAGAUUAAUGCUUUGUGCAACACAUUUCUAAAUAUUGCGAAUUCUGCUAAAAAGUUAUUAAAUAAGAAAUACAAAGUAAAAUAUAUUUCCAAACUAAUUUUAAACUGGAUAACACUGAUGAUCUAAUCCUGAAG